rnacentral:rRNA from 1 species
GAAUUUUAUAUAAAUUUAUUUAAAUUAUAAUAAUUGUAUUUAAUUAAAAAUAAAUAUUAUAUUUAAUUGGGAGGAUUUUUAAAUUAAAUGAACUUUAAUAUUUAAAUUACAUAAAUUAAUGAAUAAAUUAAUUAAUGAUUGAUUAAUAAAUUAAAAAAGAAAUAAUUACCUUAGGGAUAACAGCGUAAUAUUUUUAGAUAGAUCAUAUAGAUAAAAAUGAUUGC